rnacentral:rRNA from 1 species
UACAGAGGUCCCAAGCGUUGUUCGGAUUCAUUGGGCGUAAAGGGUGCGUAGGCGGCGCGGUAAGUCGGGUGUGAAAUCUCGGGGCUUAACUCCGAAACUGCAUUCGAUACUGCCGUGCUAGAGUACAGAAGGGGCAACUGGAAUUCUCGGUGUAGCGGUGAAAUGCGUAGAUAUCGAGAGGAACACCUGCGGCGAAGGCGGGUUGCUGGGCUGAUACUGACGCUGAGGCGCGAAAGCCAGGGGAGCGAACGGG